AUGUCGCACACGUCCGAGGAAGAGUCCCUGAGCAGCUUCCAGCAGCAACCGAAGCUCGAGGUCGGCGCGGCGGGGCCGAGCAGAGGCGACCCGGCGGCCAUGCCCGUGGUGAAAAAGAGGCGAGGUCAUCCAGGGAAUCCAGACCCAGACGUGGAAGUAGUAGCUUUAUCACCCAAGACACUCGUUGCGACAAACCGAUACAUAUGUGAAGUCUGCCAUAAGGGUUUCCAGAGAGACCAGAACCUCCAGCUCCACAGGAGGGGUCAUAAUCUGCCAUGGAAGCUCAAGCAGAGAAGCAGCACUGACGCUAAGAAGAAGGUGUAUAUCUGCCCCGAGGUCACCUGCCCGCACCAUGAUGCAACCCGAGCUUUGGGUGAUCUCACCGGCAUAAAAAAGCACUUCUCCAGGAAGCAUGGGGAGAAGAAGUGGAAGUGCGACCGAUGUUCGAAGAAGUAUGCUGUCCAAUCUGAUUGGAAGGCUCACACUAAGAUAUGUGGCACCAAGGAGUACCGAUGUGAUUGCGGAACUAUCUUCUCAAGGAAGGAUAGCUUCAUCACGCAUCGAGCCUUCUGCGAUGUAUUAGCCGAAGACAACUCAAGGGUUAACCACAGCCUAGCUACAAUGGUGGGAAGUCUGCAUGGUCAGCAUGACAUGUAUUCACAUGGGGUGCCUAGCCCCACUGAUAUGGUUGCAAACAUGUCCAGCAACGACCACAACUCAGACAUGCAUCUAAGAUCAUUAUCUCCUUAUGCUCUCAUCACAAGGAACACUGCCUUGUUCUCCAACCAGAUACCACCCAAGGAUCCAGGAUUCCCACUUGAUGGAAGUGCAUCAGGCUACCCUUACAUGUCCAUGAACUCCCCACACAUGUCCGCGACAGCCCUGCUACAGAAAGCUGCAGAGAUGGGGGCAAAGACCAGCCAGGAUCCCAUUUCACCAUUGCUUUUAAAAGGAUUCGCAAACAACUUCACCAGUGCUAGAGACCAUAUGGGCAUAUCUUCCGGAAGCCAAGGAGAUUCUAUGGGGAAUUCAGCAGCUAACAGUGUUUGCAUGAAGGCCGCGGAAGAUGAGAGCAUGAAUGGUCACAACAAUAUCUUGAUCAACUCAGCAUGGACCAGUGGCGGCAUGAUGACACCGACUACCGUGCCUUUAAUUGGGCUCAUGAACAACCCAUUUUCCAUGAGACAAGAGAAGGAGAGCCCUCAGAUUAUGCCUGAUAUCCAAACGCAGCACAACAGACAAGAAAACAUUUCAGGGGUAGGAGAUGCGGGCCUAACACAGGACUUUCUAGGGUUAGGAGGCAACGGAAAUUUGGAUAUAAGCUCUGGGACCUAUAAUACGGAUGUGACAGCAUUGAGCUAUUCUGAUGAGCAACAGAAAAAUCAGGAGCAUAUGUAUUCUUACCAUGAAUCAUCGCUUGACUCCACUGCAUUGGACAAACCUAUGUGGGAUUCAUGA
rnacentral:rRNA from 1 species